AUAAGUAGGUGGAGGAAAAGAAACCGAAUGGGAAUCUCUUAGUAAUGGCGAAUGAAAAGAGAUAUGCUCAGCGUCAAAAUCAGGCUAUCCUGACUUGUAGGCUGUAGGGGUGAUGCCAUCUUGGGUGCAGAUGCAAGUCUCUUGGAAAGGAGCACCAGUGAGGGUCAGGGUCCCGCCUGUCAUCUGCAACUCCUGGUACACGGUUUGCCCACAGAGAGUCGUGUUCUUCUGGAAUAGAGCGCAAAUUGGGUGGUACUCCUUGCCCAAGGAGCAUUACGUGCUUGAGACCAAUAGCGAACAAGUACCAUGAGGGAAGGGUGAAAAGGACUUUGGAAAGAGGGUUAAGAGGGCGUGAAGCUGCUGGAAGAGAAGUGGAUUGGAUUUUUUGCUAUGGGCAAGAUUGCAGGGUGUGGACCUCACUUGUGGGAAUUCAUGCUCUGUGCCUCUUCCCAUAUGGUUGGGUAUGAUGCUGUGCCUGGAAACUAUGCUUGGACUGGCUGAAGGGUUGCUACCUGGACCUUGUCCGAGUUUUACUCUUGGUGCAGCAUUGUUUUUGCCUCUGGCUUUCCCGACCAAAUAGUUCAAUCCUCCCCGUCUUGAAACACGGACCAAGGAGUCUAAUGCGUGUGCGAGUGCAAGGGCUUGACACCUGUCAGCGUAACAAAGGUGACUUGCUGGGAUUUUUGCACCAGCAGCCAACUGAUCGCUUGGGAGAUGUUUGCGUGUGAGCACACUUGCUAGGACCCGAAAGGUGGUGAACUAUGCCUGAGAAGGGUGACGUCAGGGGAAACUCUGAUGGAAGCUCGUAGCGCUACUGACGUGCAAAUCGUUCGUCUGACUUGGGUAUAGGGGCGAAAGACUAAUCGAACCAUCUAGUAGCUGGUUCCCUCCGAAGUUUCCCUCAGGAUAGCUGGAGCAGUACAGUUUUAUCAGGUAAAGCGAAUGAUUCGAGGCAUUGGGGGUAUGUUACCCUUGACCCACUCUCAAACUUUUAAUGGGUAAGCUCCACUGCUUGCUUAGUUGAAGCAGUGGGUAGAAUAGCAGCUCUAAGUGGGCCAUUUUUGGUAAGCAGAACUGGCGAUGAGGGAUGAACCUAGCAUUGGGGUAAAGUGCUAGACUGCUCGCUCAUAAGACACCACAAAGGGUGUUGGUUCAUACUGACAGCAGGACGGUGGUCAUGGAAGUUGAAAUCCGCUAAGGAGUGUGUAACAACUCACCUGCCGAAUGGACUAGCCCCGAAAAUGGAUGGCGCUGAAGCGGGUGACUGAUACCCAAUCAUGGUUGCAAGCACUGCAACUUUGAGUAGGAGGGCAUGGAAGUUGCAACGAAGCCCAACCGUGAAGAAAAGGGUGAAGGAC
rnacentral:rRNA from 1 species